rnacentral:antisense_RNA from 1 species
CAUAGUUGAAAAUAGCACCUGGGUUUAAAGUAGGGUUAGCUACAACACGUACGUCUCCACCACCUGGAGCCCAAGUAUCAUAAAGACCUCCAAAGAACAUAGCCUUUAAAACAAGAAGGAAAGCUCCAACUCCUAAAAGGAUAAGGUGAAUACCUAAGAUAGUAGUCAUCUUGUUCUUAUCACGCCA